AGCGAACGCUGGCGGCAGGCCUAACACAUGCAAGUCGAACGAACUCUUCGGAGUUAGUGGCGGACGGGUGAGUAACACGUGGGGACGUGCCUUUAGGUUCGGAAUAACUCAGGGAAACUUGUGCUAAUACCGAAUGUGCCCUUCGGGGGAAAGAUUUAUCGCCUUUAGAGCGGCCCGCGUCAGAUUAGUUAGUUGUUGAGGUAACGGCUCACAAAGGCGACGGUCAGUAGCUGGUCUGAGAGGAGGGCCAGCCACACUGGGACUGAGACACGGCCCAGACUCCUACGGGAGGCAGCAGUGGGGAAUCUUGCGCAAUGGGCGAAAGCCUGACGCAGCCAUGCCGCGUGAAUGAUGAAGGUCUUAGGAUUGUAAAAUUCUUUCACCGGGGAAGAUAAUGACGGUACCCGGAGAAGAAGCCCCGGCUAACUUCGUGCCAGCCGCCGCCGUAA
rnacentral:rRNA from 1 species